rnacentral:rRNA from 1 species
GAUGAACGCUAGCGGCAGGCCUAAUACAUGCAAGUCAAGGGGCCAGCAAUGGCACCGGCGCACGGGUGCGUAACACGUACACAACAUACCUUUAAGUGGGAGAUAGCAUCGGGAAACUGGUGGUAAUACCCCAUAAUAUUGCGAUGCGGCAUCACAUUGCAAUUAAAGUUUCGAUGCUUAAAGAUUGGUGUGCGUCCGAUUAGCUAGUUGGCGGGGUAACGGCCCACCAAGGCUACGAUCGGUAGGGGGUGUGAGAGCAUGACCCCCCCACAUGGGUACGUGAGACACGGACCCAACUCCUACGGGAGGCAGCAGUAAGGAAUAUUGGACGAAUAGGACGGAAAGUACUGAUCCAGCCAUGCCGCGUGCAGGAUGAAGGCGCUCAGCGUUGUAAACU